rnacentral:rRNA from 1 species
UACGUAGGGUGCGAGCGUUAAUCGGAAUUACUGGGCGUAAAGGGUGCGCAGGCGGCGUCGCAAGUCAGGCGUGAAAUCCCCGGGCUUAACCUGGGAACUGCACUUGAAACUACGAUGCUGGAGUAUGGCAGAGGGAGGUGGAAUUCCACGUGUAGCGGUGAAAUGCGUAGAGAUGUGGAGGAGCACCGAUGGCGAAGGCAGCCUCCUGGGCCAAUACUGACGCUCAUGCACGAAAGCGUGGGGAGCAAACAGG